AAUAAUGUUCAGGCAAUUGGUGUUAAAAGCUUUGCUUUUAACUUAAAAGGGAAGAUCGGUGAAAAUCCGACACGGUCGCGCCACUGUAAUGGGGAGCUUCAAUCGCAUCCACUGUUUCAAUUUGAAAUGGGAAGGGAUUUGAAGUGAAGAACCUGAGUCAGGAGACCUGCCUAUUGUAUGCACUUAUU
rnacentral:ncRNA from 2 species